CAAGGCGUAGCUAUAAUGCCAAAGCAUUCAGCUUACACCUGAAAGAUGUCUACCCACCCUAGACCGCCUUGA
rnacentral:tRNA from 1 species